rnacentral:rRNA from 1 species
GACGAACGCUGGCGGCGUGCUUAACACAUGCAAGUCGAACGAAGAGCGAUGGAAGCUUGCUUCUAUCAAUCUUAGUGGCGAACGGGUGAGUAACGCGUAAUCAACCUGCCCUUCAGAGGGGGACAACAGUUGGAAACGACUGCUAAUACCGCAUACGAUCUAAUCUCGGCAUCGAGGAUAGAUGAAAGGUGGCCUCUACAUGUAAGCUAUCACUGAAGGAGGGGAUUGCGUCUGAUUAGCUAGUUGGAGGGGUAACGGCCCACCAUGGCGAUGAUCAGUAGCCGGUCUGAGAGGAUGAACGGCCACAUUGGGACUGAGACACGGCCCAGACGCCUACGGGAGGCAGCAGUGGGGAAUCUUCCGCAAUGGACGAAAGUCUGACGGAGCAACGCCGCGUGAGUGAUGACGGCCUUCGGGUUGUAAAGCUCUGUUAAUCGGGACGAAAGGCCUUCUUGCGAAUAGUGAGAAGGAUUGACGGUACCGGAAUAGAAAGCCACGGCUAACUACGUG